CAGGGUGUGGCUGAGACAGUUAAGCGCCUCCCUUACACCGAGAAGACACCCAUGCAAGUUGGGUCACCCUGA
rnacentral:tRNA from 1 species